AUGAGUCUUCUAUGCUGGAAUUGUUGAGGCUUGGGGUCGGACUCGAUAGUUGGCGAGCUUCGCUGGUUAGUGAAGCUCUACCGACCCUCCCUCCUCUUUCUGUCUGAAACGAAGAUGAGGGAUAAUCUUGUCAGGAACUUUAUGUGGUCGCUGGGCUUCUCUGGUUGUUUUGUUGUUAGCAGUGAGGGCCUCAAUGGGGGCUUUGCUUUGCUUUGUUUUGGACAGAUUCGGCAGAGGUUUCUAUGA
rnacentral:rRNA from 1 species